rnacentral:lncRNA from 1 species
CUCCAUAAGCACAAAGGGAAUUGUGCACCCACCAGAAAAUAAAAAGUCCUGUAGCUAAUGGGAAGCGCCAUUCCUUCUCACCGUCUCGAGCUCCUCUCUUAGGGUAUGAGUCAUGGGUUUUAUAAGGUUGUUUUUACCACAGUGGUCUUUUCAAACCACCUGCCAACUCCCUGAACCAGAGUUUUAUACCAAUUAUUAGUCAACACUGACAAAAGGCUUUUUAGGGCUUUAUUUGUUCGAGCCUUUUCAGUGAAAGAAGGAACAUUUUUCUAUGGUGCUGUCUCACUGCCUUAAACCAGAUUUCUCCAACAGUUUCAACAGUCCGCUUCAAUACUAAACCAUUGGUAAUUUCCACUGUCUCUUCAUUGACAACCAAGCAACACACCAGUUAACACAGCAGCCUCAUUUCUGUAUAUCAUUUUAUUUUUAACUUUCCUUUUCUUGAAGAAAUGGAUAGGAGAAAGAUCAGUAUUUUUAUCUUAAGAGGGAAGAUAUUUCUUUGCCUAUCCUGCAAAUCAUUCGAGAACCAUAGAACCCUUCUUUGGCCAUCCCUUAAAAGCAGAGACAUGUGGCUUCAUUCCACCUAGUUCUAAAUGAAAGCAUUUCGGAAGGUGGGAGAUUCCUAAUCUGGAUCCAGUUGAACUACAAGCACUGGAUUCAGCGUGAGCACAACUCUUUGGCUUUCCCUCCCUCGUGUUUAUCUUUCAAAGACACAAAAGUUAGUUUCGGGCACAUGCUGUUUGGAGUGUUACCGUCAUACACGAGACAUUCUGCAUUAAGGAACACUGAUGUGGUCAGUCACUGUGGAAGAGGAAGCAUUUAUACUGUACAAGAAGGUUAGAUUUGCACAGUCUACUGGGUAGGUAUUGUAAAUAAUGAUUUUUUUUCCAAACUUGCACAAAUUCAAAAUCAAACACAAACGAAAAUUGUAUUUUAUCCUGUUGGUGUUAAGAGGUGUCUCACCUGCUGAGGCUCCCUGUAUGCUGCAAGCCAAUACAGAAUGCAAACCCUCGAAGCUGUUAUUAUCUGGUGUGUUUGUCCUGUACUUAACAAGUUGUUGUGACAAUGCAGGGGCCAUCAGUGCUAGAGUGCGCAUGCUUCAGAACUGUACAUGAGGCCGGUACAAUUUUGGAUGAGUGACUAUCUGAACAUACAUAUCUCGUGGCGGGCUAUGAAGACAGUGCGUGAAAUCAGUCACUGGUAAAGGUACACCACCCACAGAGGACGGGUUCAAAGUUUAUGAAACCUGAGGUCUAUGCCACGGUAUAGACAAAGCUCUGUGUGCCUUUGAGGACAUGUUAUUGGUGCUACCCUCUGUGACCACCUUUGGGUUGGUUUCUAUAGAGCAAACUGAACAACACAAGGUAUCUGUGCAGAUUUCAGGAUGUCGCUAAGUAUAUAGGUCCUUACACGGUGCUACUGCCCCGAGGGAUAUCAGGCUGAACUUAUGCACACAGAAAUUGUCACCCUGACUUUGGAACCUCAACUGUGGAUCAAAUCUAUUGUGCAACAUCAAUCCGUGGAGCUGGAUGAGUGGCUCGUUGCCCUUGUAUGAUGUGUGAGCUAAGGAAACCGCUCAUCUUUCCCUGCCAUUCUGAGACAUACAGUCCACACAUGAGCAUAAACAGAACUUCCUGCAGUACAUCCCAGUAGGUACACCUAGUUUACAAUUUAAACUAGUUUGUGAAACAUUUGUCUGUAUACAUUUUAUAUUUUGUACAUUUUUUGAUGUAACAUAUCAUGUAAAUAGCAAGAAGCAGUGAAAGAAAUCAUCUGAAAAGUUUUGUAGUCUUUGUAAAGCCCCAACAAUAAGUACUUGGUGUCAAUGGAUCUAACUGGAUGAUGUAUUUUCUAUUGGUUUAUUGUCCCACCCCUAGCUUGUAAACCAGCUUGCAUAUAUUUUUUUGCAAAUGUGCACCCUGUAUCUGUCUAAAUUAUUACUUUGCCAUUAAAGUGGAAUUAUUUAUUGAC